rnacentral:misc_RNA from 1 species
GGUUCAUUCAAGUCAUCAACUUUGUACUUUGGAUUAACAUUACGUCUUAGAUCUUGUAUAGAAUUUCCCUUACUUGAUGGUCUAGCCAGGGCCCAUGGUAGGUCAGACAUUUCAGUUUCACUGUCAUAACUUGCCACCCGCAGUAUCUGAUGACAGCUCCAAUUCUCUGCAUUCCAGAGGGAAACUUCAUUACAGCCUGCAGAAACAUAGAUUAGGGGCCUCGCAGCAGUAGUAACAGAAGUGUUUGGAGGAUGCACGAAGAGGCACAUCCUUUCAAUGGGGCACAAAACU